GAUGAAGACGCAGUGAAAUGCGAUAACUAAUGUGAAUUGCAGAAUUCCGUGAAUCAUCGAGUCUUUGAACGCACAUUGCGCCCCCUGGUAUUCCGGGGGGCAUGCCUGUCCGAGCGUCAUUACAACCCUCAAGCCCGGCUUGUGUAAUGGGCGGCCGUCUCUCCCCCCGGGGGGAGACGCCCCCGAAACUCAGUGGGGAUGUCGCGAUACCGAAGCCUCAGCUAAUGGGUAAACCACAGCUGCAAUGGCCGCGGCCGGCGUCCGCCUUCCACGGUCCGUCCGCCUAGCGCGGGCGGCCUUCUCAAGGUUGACCUCGGAUCAGGUAGGGAUACCCGCUGAACUUAAGCAUAUCAAUAAGCGGAGGA
rnacentral:misc_RNA from 1 species